GGUACAGCCAAAAGAGUCAUCAUCUCUGUCCCUUUUGCUGAUGCCUCAUGACAGGUGUGAACCAGGAAUAGUAUGACAAGUCAUUUAAAAGUGUCAGCAAUGCCUAUGGCACCUCCAACUGCUUAGUACCACACCCUGCCCCUCUACUAAGGUCAUCCAUGAUAACUCUAGCACUGUGAAGGACUCAUGACCACAGGCCAUGCUAUCACUACCACCCAGAAGACGGUGAAUGUCCCACUAGAAAGCUGUGGCAUGAUACACGUGGGGCUGAAUGCCAUCCCUGUAUCUACUGGCACUGCCAAGGCUGUGUGUGUGCAAGGCCAUCCCAGAGCUGAAUGGGAAGCUCAUUAGCAUGGCCUUCCAUGUUCCUACCCGCCCCCCCCCCCCAGUGUGUCAGUCAUGAACCUGACAUUGUACCUGGAGAAAGCUGCCAAGUACUAUGAUAGCAAGAAGGUGGUGAAUCAGGUAUUGGAGGGCCCACUAAGGAGAACCCUGUGCUACACUGAGGACCAGACUGUCCCCUGCCACUUUAACAGGGAUGCCCACUCUUCCAGUUUUGACAUUGGGGCUAACAUUGCUCUCAACAACUUUGUAAAGCUCACUUCUUAGCAUGACAAAGAAGAAGGCUACAGAGGCAGGGUAGAGGACCUCAUGGCCUACAGAACUUCCAAGG
rnacentral:lncRNA from 1 species